GGGGGUUUAGCUCAGUGGCAUAAGUGCGCCUGCCUUACAAGCAGGCAGUUGUGAGUUCAAUCCCCA
rnacentral:tRNA from 1 species